rnacentral:rRNA from 1 species
AUGGAGUUAAGCAUGGAGCCGCCGCUCCCCAGCGCCAAAGGCACGGCCGUGGCCGUGAACCUAGUGCUGGCAACGAGCGAGGCCAAGAGACAGCUCCGCCUCGCCGGGCCGCUCAUCGUGGGAUGCCUGCUGCAGAGCGUCAUCCAGAUGAUCUCCGUGAUGUUCGUGGGGCACCUGGGCGAGCUCGCGCUGGCCAGCGCCUCCAUGGCCAGCUCAUUCGCCAUCGUCACCGGCUUCAGCUUCCUGACGGGCAUGUCGUUCGCCCUGGACACCCUGUGCGGGCAGGCCUUCGGGGCGAGCGAGGAUCACAUGCUGGGAGUGUACAAGCAGAGGGCGAUGCUGGUGCUGGGCCUGGCGAGCCUGCCGAUCACGGCGGUGUGGGCCAACACCGGCGCGAUCCUGCUGCACCUGGGGCAGGACUCGGAGAUCGCGGCGGGCGCCGGGACGUACAUCCGGUGGAUGAUCCCGGCGCUCUUCUUCUACGGCUGGCUGCAAUGCCACGUCCGGUUCCUGCAGGCGCAGAAGCUGGUGGUGCCGGUGAUGCUCAGCUCCGGCGCCACCGCGGUGAGCCACGUGCUGGUGUGCUGGGCGCUGGUGUACAGGCUGCGGCUGGGGAUCAGAGGGGCCGCCCUGGCCAACGCCGUGUCCUACCUCACCAACGUCUCCAUACUGGCCGUCUACGUCAGGGUCUCGACGUCGUGCAAGAAGAGCUGGACGGGGUUCUCGUGCCAGGCGUUCCACGGCCUCAUCCCCUUCUUGAAGCUCGCCGUGCCAUCCGCGCUCAUGGUCUGCAUGGAGUGGUGGUCGUUCGAGGUGAUGGUGAUACUCUCCGGCCUUCUCCCCAACCCCAAGCUCGAGACAGCCGUCCUCUCCAUCUGCUUGAACACCAACUCCUUGGUGUGCACGGUCCCGAAUGGGCUCUCUUCGGCCAUAAGCACGCGCGUGUCCAACGAGCUCGGGGCGGGGCGGCCACGGGCGGCGCUUCUGGCGGCACGCGUGGUGAUAGUGCUGGCGUUUCUGGUGGGCACGUCGGAGGGGCUCCUCCUGGUUCUUGUGCACAAAGUGUGGGGCUAUGCAUACAGCAAGGACCAGGAGGUGGUGUCCUACGUCGCCACCAUGAUGCUCAUCCUCGCCGUCUCCGUCCUCUUCGACGGCCUCCAGUACGUCCUCUCAGGUAUCGUUAGGGGCUGUGGACAACAGAAGAUUGGUGCUUUCAUUAAUUUCAUUGCGUAUUAUCUAGUUGGUAUCCCUGCAGCACUAGUUUUCACCUUCAAGUGCCAUCUUGGUGGAAAGGGGCUGUGGUUGGGAAUAUUGAGCGGAUUAGUGACACAGACAUUGUUGCUUCUUUUCAUUUCCUUUGGCAAAACUGAUUGGGAUAAACAAGCAAUGAAUGCAAAGGAUAGAAUUUUGACGUCGCCGCCUGUAGAGCCAUGA